UAUGGCUCAGGAUGAACGCUAGCUACAGGCUUAACACAUGCAAGUCGAGGGGCAGCAUGUGGUUGCUUGCAACCAAUGAUGGCGACCGGCGCACGGGUGAGUAACGCGUAUCCAACCUUCCCCUUAGUAGAGGAUAGCCCGGCGAAAGUCGGAUUAAUACUCUAUGUUCUUCAAUGCGGACAUCUAAGUUGAAGCAAAGAUUUAUCGCUAAGGGAUGGGGAUGCGUCUGAUUAGGUUGCAGGCGGGGUAACGGCCCACCUGGCCUACGAUCAGUAGGGGUUCUGAGAGGAAGGUCCCCCACACUGGUACUGAGACACGGACCAGACUCCUACGGGAGGCAGCAGUGAGGAAUAUUGGUCAAUGGGCGCGAGCCUGAACCAGCCAAGUAGCGUGCAAGGACGACUGCCCUAUGGGUUGUAAACUGCUUUUAUCAGGGAAUAAAGUGAGGCACGCGUGCCUUUUUGUAUGUACCUGAUGAAUAAGGACCGGCUAAUUCCGUGCCAGCAGCCGC
rnacentral:rRNA from 1 species